CCUGGAGGAAGGUGGGGAUGACGUCAAAUCAUCAUGCCCCUUAUGCUUAGGGCUACACACGUGCUACAAUGGGUAGUACAGAGGGUUGCCAAGCCGUAAGGUGGAGCUAAUCCCUUAAAGCUACUCUCAGUUCGGAUUGUAGGCUGAAACUCGCCUACAUGAAGCUGGAGUUACUAGUAAUCGCAGAUCAGAAUGCUGCGGUGAAUGCGUUCCCGGGUCUUGUACACACCGCCCGUCACACCACGGGAGUUGGAGACGCCCGAAGCCGAUUAUCUAACCUUUUGGAAGAAGUCGUCGAAGGUGGAAUCAAUAACUGGGGUGAAGUCGUAACAAGGUAGCCGUAUCGGAAGGGGCGGCUGGAUCACCUCCUUUCUAAGGAGA
rnacentral:rRNA from 1 species